rnacentral:rRNA from 1 species
CAAUCGCGUAUAUUAAAGUUGUUGCAGUUAAAAAGCUCGUAGUUGGAUUUCUGGUUGAAGCGACCGGUCGGGCGUUGAUUCGUCUGCACUGGAGUCGGUUUUGGCCAUCCUCUAGGAAAGUGCGUCUGGUAUUAAGUUAUCGGGCGUAUGAUCCUGGUCUUUUACUGUGAAAAAAUUAGAGUGUUUAAAGCAGGCCUUCGCCUUGAAUACAUUAGCAUGGAAUAAUAAGAUAGGACUUUGGUCUAUUUUGUUGGUUUGCAGACCGAAGUAAUGAUUAAUAGGGAUAGUUGGGGGUAUUUAUAUUCCGAUGUCAGAGGUGAAAUUCUUAGAUUUUCGGAAGAUAAACUUAUGCGAAAGCAUUUACCAAGGAUGUUUUCAUUAA